rnacentral:rRNA from 1 species
GAUGAACGCUAGCUACAGGCUUAACACAUGCAAGUCGAGGGGUAACAAGAGGAAAGCUUGCUUUCUUUGUUGACGACCGGCGCUCGGGUGAGUAACGCGUAUCCAACCUGCCUAUAACUAGGGAAUAACCUUGCGAAAGUAAGACUAAUACCCUAUGAUUUCCUUUGAUGACAUCAGAUUAGGAAUAAAGAUUUAUCGGUUAUAGAUGGGGAUGCGUCUGAUUAGCUUGUUGGCGGGGUAACGGCCCACCAAGGCAACGAUCAGUAGGGGUUCUGAGAGGAAGGUCCCCCACAUUGGAACUGAGACACGGUCCAAACUCCUACGGGAGGCAGCAGUGAGGAAUAUUGGUCAAUGGGCGGAAGCCUGAACCAGCCAAGUAGCGUGCAGGAUGACGGCCCUAUGGGUUGUAACUGCUUUUAUACAGGAAUAAAGUUAGCCACGUGUGGUUAUUUGUAGGUACUGUAUGAAUAAGGACCGGCUAAUUCCGUGCCAGCCGCCGCAGUAA